GUGCUCGCUUCGGCAGCACAUAUACUAAAAAUUGGAAUGAUACAGAGAAGAUUAGCAUGGCCCCUGUGCAAGGAUGACACGCAAAUUCGUGAAGCAUUCCAUAUUUUU
rnacentral:snRNA from 1 species